GCUGAACAAUUUUAUCUGGGAAGAGAUGUGGCCAACUUUCUAGGGCUGACUUUGAUCCAGUAGAACAUGUCUUUUACAAGCAUUUACUUUACCAACUGGGAGCUCAGUACCCUCCCCUGUGAAAAACACCCAGGCAAGUCCAAGGAGUAUGAAGUUAAACAAACAAGAGAAGAUGAAGGAGGAAAAGAAGAAGAUGGAGGAGGACAAAGUUUUCAGAAGUGCUUAUUAGAGCUAUUACAUGCCAAAUAUCUACUCUGUGGGAAAAGAAAAUUUCACAUUUUUAUCAACUCUGUAUUCACACAUCUGAUCAAGGUAACAUCUUAAAAUGGGUAGAUGAAAUAAUGAGAUGAAAAAAACAAAAAGAGAACCCAAAGAUAAGUUGAUAUAAAUGUCAAUGUAAUUCAUCUGAAAAACUCAUUCAUGUUGAGACUCUAAUUCAGCAAGAAGUGUUAACUUUAGUUGAAAGUAAAUUAAUCAAGUCUAGUAUCAUAGAUUAGUAAGUCAAGGCCCACCCAAGGUCAUAUAGUUAAUAUGUGACAGAAUUGCGAUUUUAUUAUACAGUACUAGAAUUAGAAAUCAGUUAGAGUCCCCUGAUGAAGAUUGAGUCUUUGUAAGCAUCUUCCAGUUUGGUAUAGAAAUGGGUUAAACAUUAAAUGUUGAUUGAGAAAAAUACCUAGACACCCCAGAAAUACUACUUAAACUUCAAGGAAGAUGAGUGUUGAUUUAUCCCACAAUCUCUA
rnacentral:lncRNA from 1 species